CAAAGCAGUUUUGUUUUUAUAAUUAAAUAUCUAGACUAAAUGCCAGAAUCUUGCUCUACAGUAAGAUUCUAGGGCAUCGAACAGCAUAUGUUACCUCCAACAUGCAAACAUUCAUAAGCAAACAUGUAACCAUUAUUCUGGUUUCAGAAGAUUACAUAAUGACAAGCUCCGUCUCUCUCAUUAAAGGCUUCCCCUGCACUAGCCUGCAAGCGUGACAUGAGCUCCUGGCUUUUGCAAACUGCUGUUCACAUGUGGGAGAUGCAGGCACACAUUAAUAAGUGAACAAGAACAAAAAAGGAGACGUCAAUCUCGAACUGGUUUCUGCUGGGAGGGGUGAACAGCCCCAGAAGCCGUGAAGCAGGGAGAUGGAAUCUUGUGGCUGAGGCUGGGAUACAGACUUGUCCUGGGGCUCUAACCCUGGCUGUCUGCUGUGUGCACUCUGCACCAGCAGAUGGAGUGCUUGCCAUCACUAAUUCACUCCGGUGUGAAAAAAACACACCCCACAACACAACAGGUUACUUAGACAGUAACGGAAGAAAGAAUCAUAUACACUUUCACAGGAGUCAGUCGUUUCACGGCCUCUGUGAACACAAAACGCAGACUCAACAGUUCACUUUGGAUUGCAUUAGCUGCACUAUCACCUUGUAGCCUGGUCAAGGUGCAGCCCGAAGAGCACUAGGAGGACAAGAAAAGCCCAGUUGCUGCUGUCAGUGGUGUUGGUGGAGUGGACCAGCAAGUGGUGAUCUUGCCUCUGGACUAAAACCAAUGCUCUGCUUUGGUGACAGGGAACUGGACACUAGGAGGUCCUGUCACAAGGGUGAGACAUCAAUCGAAGGUCCUGACUGUUUGGCCAAGCUGGCACUGUUCAUAAGAGUAUGGAUUGUGUUCCUGGUGUCCUGACUUAAUUCCAUUUUGGGUUUUGCUCAUUCUGGCCUCCCUAAAUUUCCUCUUUAAUUAAAUAAGUUAAAUUUCUCCCUUCUCCACUUCAUCUGAAAUGGGUCUAUCAGUGCAUAAUGGCUGCCAACUUAUCCAGGUAGGUGGUGCAAAACAGCAGACGGUGAAAUGAGUCUUCUCCUAUAUGUAAAGCACAUUCGGUUCUUUUGGGACAGAAAGUAUUUUACAAAUACAAGAAAUAAUAUAUCUGUUAACGACAGGCCAAUAAUGGCAGCCUUAUAUAAUGGAACGAAUUAAUUAUUUCUCCAUUUAAAUGUGACAUAACCUAUAUAAUCACUUGAUGGUAGAACAUAUAGUUUGUUUUUUGUAAGCUGUCCAAGAAACUGCACUUUUUUCAUUGAAGAAGGAGUCUUAUUAUGACAACAGAAUUUCAACACUGUACAAAUAUGUAAGAAAGUUGUGUUUAUGUUGCCAUGUGAUAAGUGCUGAAUGCAAUUUUCCUUGCAGGUUUUCAACUGUGCUCGAGGAAAGGAAGUAGGAAAGGUCACAAAAAUUGCAGUGAAAAAGCUGUUGUCUGGUGUUGUACUGUGUGUGCAGGCACUGACAGAACUAAUUCAGAGCUGUUGAACACUAACAUUUAUUAAUAAACACAAUAAUGCAAGAAGCCAACUGGCACAAAACUAGAAGGCACUGCUGCCAAAACACCCUAGUGUGUCUAAAGGUUAAACAGUGCCAAAAGGUUUUGAGUGAUGUCAACCAUAGCAAGUGUAAGAAUACAGACAUAUGUGGGGAUUAUUGCUAAAUUGCAGCUGAAAGUUUUUGAAUAUCUGCCUGACAGUACUUCUAACUGCUCUUCUACUGUAUUCCAAAAGAACCUUCCCAGACUUUUAUUUUAAAAUAUCUUUAAUUGGAGAAAAAACUUAUGAAUGAAGUAUGCAUUACACAUAGUACAACCCGCAUACUAUGAUGUUUUGAGGACACUUUGUGAGAAAACGCUGUACGUUCUGCUCUUGUGAAUGGCUUUUACAACACAACGUUUAAACAAGUUAAAACAAGAGCCUGAAUGUCACCAGAAAAAGACUCUGCUGUCUGUGUCAUGUAUAAAUAGACACCUCCUGAGAUCCAGAUGUGCUGUUUCAAUCAAAUGAUUAGCACAAGGUUGCUUGCAAUGAGCAUAGCCAUAAGUUAGUGAAAACAAAUGCCACACAUACUGUACAAUUCAUUUCUGACUUACAUUAAGACACUGGGCUCUGACCCAAACAGCAACUUUUGAAUUAGACAGCUGAUCAAAUCGUUCCACAUUUUCAAUCACUUUUAUACUGAUGGCUAAAAAUAAACAACCGCUACCAUUUACCCUGGUGAAAUGUUUUUAAUAAGACAUUUUCUUUAGUCCCCUCAGGUACUAAUUUCACACCAGACAUCAGUCUCUGUCUGCCUUUCAGGUUUAUAAGGAUAUCUUAGUAUGUCUGUUCUACAAUUCUCAAGGCUUCAGGGGCUAGGUUGCUCAAUAAUUUGAGCCAGAGCGUAAAAAGUAAUGCACAGAUAUAGAUUUCAUGCCAUCUGAAUGUUCGAAAACAUACUACAUUAA
rnacentral:lncRNA from 1 species